AACGCACAUUGCGCCCCUUGGUAUUCCGAGGGGCAUGCCUGUCCGAGCAUCAUUGCACCUCUCAAGCCUGGCUUGGUCUUGGGACCCGCCCCCCGCGGCGGCCCCGAAAAGCAUUGGCGGUCCGGCGAGACUUCAAGCGUAGUGGAUUAAACCUUUUCAGUUUUCGCUCUGAACGCUCGAGCCGUGACUUCGCCAGCUCAACCCCAUAUUUUUUUCAGGUUGACCUCGGAUCAGGUAGGGAUACCCGCUGAACUUAA
rnacentral:misc_RNA from 1 species